rnacentral:rRNA from 1 species
GAUGAACGCUGGCGGCGUGCUUAACACAUGCAAGUCGAACGAUGAAGCCCAGCUUGCUGGGUGGAUUAGUGGCGAACGGGUGAGUAACACGUGAGUAACCUGCCCUUAACUCUGGGAUAAGCCUGGGAAACUGGGUCUAAUACCGGAUAGGAGCGCCUACCACAUGGUGGGUGUUGGAAAGAUUUAUCGGUUUUGGAUGGACUCGCGGCCUAUCAGCUUGUUGGUGAGGUAAUGGCUCACCAAGGCGACGACGGGUAGCCGGCCUGAGAGGGUGACCGGCCACACUGGGACUGAGACACGGCCCAGACUCCUACGGGAGGCAGCAGUGGGGAAUAUUGCACAAUGGGCGAAAGCCUGAUGCAGCGACGCCGCGUGAGGGAUGACGGCCUUCGGGUUGUAAACCUCUUUCAGUAGGGAAGAAGCGAAAGUGACGGUACCUGCAGAAGAAGCACCGGCUAACUACGUG